UUGUUUUUUUUUUUUGUGUGUGUGGUGUGUAAGUUUCCUGUGUAGGAUAAACAUUUUUUUUCCUUUUGAUUUUUCAUUAUCAUAUAACUUAGCAAUAACCCAUUUUGGAAAAUGGGUAUAACUUUGAAAAUUUAAAUUUUACUACCUAACCUUACAUUCAUUUUGAUUUAUGAAAGUUUCUCAAAAAAGUUUAUCAAAUUCUACUGGAAUUUAAAGAAACAAUAUGGUCGAAAACAUCAUUAAGUUUUGAUUGGAGCAUAGUAAAUCAAGCAUAUUAUAAAAUUAGAUACUAAAAUCAAAAUUUUGAGACAUCAGGUGCUUGAUUGAAAAUGAGGCGAAGUUCGCAGCGACGGUGGCAGCGAUAAACUUCUACACUUUCUAUCAUGAUUUGCGGACACUGAGAAGGGCUGUUUUGUUCCUCAGAAAAGUAUGGAGAAAGGAUUUUCGAGAAAAAUACUUUUUCAUGGAAAUCCUUUUUUUUAGUUUUCUGCCUGUGUGGUUUCAAGAAAAAUUAGUUUUUUUUGGAAUUUCUUUUUUUAGAUUUCACAGAAAAUUAGUGUUUUCGUUUUUCACAGAAAAAUUCAGAAAAUGAAAAUACUAGUUUUCCAUUAAAUAUAGAAAUUCUUUUUUUUUUCAAAAAAGUUAGUUCUUUUGGAACCAAAAUGGAUGGGAAAACUCAAAAAAUGCUUUUUUUUCAUGAAAAACUUUUUUUUCCAUACUUUUUCAACGAACCAAACAGUCCCUGAAUGACUUACAGAUCACGAAUUCUGCGUAUUCAUUUUGUCAUGUCAGCGGAAUGAUGGAAGAGCCUAAUGUGGAAACACUGAACGACUCAUCAGUCGCGGAUUCUGUGUAUUUAUUUCGUCAUGUCAAGCAGAAGGAUUGGAAGAACUUAGUGCGUAAGUAUGUUCGAUUUGCGAAGAUUCGCAUACAUUUUGGUUAAGUUUUAUGUGUUGAAUUCACAAUGAGAUGCUGCUGGAGGAGGAAUGAAUUGAGUUUAUGCAAGAUCUGCUCGAAGAUUCGCAUACAUUUUCGACAGCGGCAGCGAUUUGUCAGAUGAUGAUAUUUCUCGUCAGCAAGUCGUAAACUUCUAUACUUUCUGUCAUGAAUUGCAGACACUGAACGACUCAUUAGUUGCUGAUUCUGUGUAUUCAUUUCGUCAUGUCAAUCAGAGUAAGUACGUUCGAUUUGUGAAGAUUCACAUACGUGCUGGGCUCAGUUUUAUGCUUUGAAUUCGCAGUUACAGAUCAAUUGAUGAAGAUUUGCAGGUGAGAACAAGUAGUUGUACCGUGCGACGAGAAAUGAACUCUUUUAUUUCCGUCCCUGCGUGAUUCGAAGGUGCGAUCGGAAUAGAGGUUUCCGGGUGUUAUCUCUUUAUCAAUUAGGGUUCAUGAUACUCUGUAGCUGGCGAUCCAGCUCUCACUGUUCGCGAGCUGGUUCAUGUUCGGCUUGAAAUGAGUUCGGGAUCAAUUGCUUGUUUAAUGAUGAGCUGAAUUUUUUAGCUCGAAAGGGUUAGCUUGCUCAUGUUCGGCUCAUUUAUAUAACUCGAAUAUAUACGUUACAAAUUUCUAUCAUUUGGAUUU